rnacentral:rRNA from 11 species
ACCUGCUGUGCUAAAUGCCCUGAGGCCACAAGAUCCUAUCUGAUCUUGGAUGCUAAGGAGGGUCAAUCCUGAUUAGUUCUUAGAUGGUAGACCACCAACAAAUACUAAGUGCUGUAGGCU